CCAAGGAGUCUAUCAUAUGUGCGAGUCAUUGGGUGAACUAAACCCACAGGCGCAAUGAAAGUGAUUUGGGCAGAUCCUACCCGUUGUGCUCCUUUGAGUAUGGGUCAGGCGCAUGCCCGGGACUCUCAGUCUACCCUUUUGCGGUAGGAGAGUACCUUGAGCAGAUGUGAUAGUACCCGAAAGAUGGUGAACUAUGCCUGGCCAGAACGAAGCCAGAGGAAACUCUGGUGGAGGUUCGUAGCAAUUCUGACGUGCAAAUCGAUUGUCAGAGCUGGGUAUAGGGGCGAAAGACUAAUCGAACCAUCUAGUAGCUGGUUCCCUCCGAAGUUUCCCUUAGGAUAGCUGGAGCCCGGAGAAAUGAAAUUAUCGUUUUACGAAGUUUCAUCCGGUAAAGCAAAUGAUUGGAGGAAUUGGGAACGAAAAGUUCUCAACCUACUCUCAAACUUUAAAUGGGUGAGAGGCAGUGCUUUCUUAAUUGAAGCAACUGCAUUGAAUUCGAGCUCCAAGUGGGCCAUUUUUGGUAAGCAGAACUGGCGCUGUGGGAUGAACCAAACGCAGUGUUAAGGUGCCUAAUCGAAUGCUAAUUCUUAGAUAUCAUGAAAGGCGUUGGUUGCUAUAGACAGCAGGACGGUGGCCAUGGAAGUCGGAAUCCGCUAAGGAGUGUGUAACAACUCACCUGCCGAAGCAACCAGCCCUGAAAAUGGAUGGCGCCAAAGCAUUCAACCGAUACACUGCCGUCGGUGGCAUUAAGGAAGCAAUGCUUUGUUUCUCGAAGCCCCGACGAGUAGGAGGUGCGCUGCGGUGUGCGUUGAAGGUACUGGCGUGAGCUGGACUGGAGCCGCCGCUGGUGAAUAUCUUGGUGGAAGUAGCAAGUAUACAAGAGCAUACCUUGUGGCCUGACGUGGAGAAGGCUUCCAUGUGAAUAUCAGUUAGACAUGGGUGAGUCGGUCCUAAGUCCAAUGGCGCAAGCCACUUCUUCAUUGAUUGGGUGACUAAAUGAAAUUAACUUGACAUGCCACUGGAGUGUCACGAUACGAAUAUUAAUAACCCGCAGUAUACUCUUUGUUGUAAAAAAUAAAAAGGAGAGAGGAGGAGGAGGAGGAGGAGGAGGAUGAUAAGAAGUUUGNGUUNCUUNCUUCCUUCCUUCCUUCCUUCCUUCCUUUCUUUCUUUUUAUAUCAGAUACUUGCGGGAGUUACUAUUCAUACGGCUUCAGGCUCGGUUCCUUGAAUCGCACGCACUAAGCCAAGCACCCAGGAAGGAGUUUUGGACGAAAGGGGAUACGGUCAAAAUUCCGUAACAAGAUCCGGAUGAGCUGCUGGGGCUUUAAUUGCCCUCGAUGUCCAAUCUUGGGCAUGGCAGGUCCCGACCGCCCGGUAACGGGAGUAGACCCUCAGACGCCGGCGACCGUUGCAGAAAGAGUUUUCUUUUCUGUUUAAGACGGCGUGACCCUGGAAGCAAUUUGCUCGGAGAAAGGGUAGUUUUCGCCGUACAGCAUCGCGAUUUUCGUGAUGUCUGCAGCGCUGUCAGUUGGCCCUUGAAAAUGAGGUGCAGGGACAUGUCUCAUUCAAAAUGGACGAGCUAACCACUCUCCUCGAGAACAUAUAUUAUUCUCGGAUCAUUGCCGUACCAGAAACCGACAUCAGGUUCCCAAGGUGCGCAGUCCU
rnacentral:rRNA from 1 species